ACAGUACUGGAGACAAAAUGCACGAAAAAUUCUUGCUGUGCCUGAACAAGACUUUAAUUGCCUCCAGGGAACAAAGAGGAAGAAACUGAGCAGCCGUAAAGAUGAUGACAGUGCCAGUUUGGGAGAAGUGAGUGACAAAAUAGAAGAGUUGGUGUUGGCAUCUCAAAGUCUGCCAGCUGUCACAGCAGCAAUCAAAGAGCUCACUGAUCUUGCAGUUGCCCAGAAAGUCACAACCCCCAAGCUGCAGACACUCAAGGAGGGAUUUAGCUGCGUGGUUUGUAUGAACAUCAUUGAGGAUCCAGUGUUCUCACUGUGCUGCAGAAGCAUUAUUGGCUGCAAGACAUGUGUGGAACAGUGGCAAG